rnacentral:lncRNA from 1 species
AUAUUUCAUUAAACUAGACGCCUAAAAGAUCACAAAUUCUUACUUGAUUCCGCUCAUCAAGUAGGUGUCAUCAAUUCAAGUUGCAGUACUCUAUAUUGAGUACCAAGUGUUUUACUCACUUAUGGAAGCAAAUAAGUGUUUUAAGAUAGACUCUACCUAUGAUAUAUUAGAACCACACUAGAGAAUUAACCUGAAAGAGGUUGAUAGUCCAGUUCCACAACAUCAGUUGUAUAUUAGAAUUUUUUUUUUUUCUUUUCUCUUAAGUAACAAAAUCUAAUACUACUGAUUGUGGAUGCUUAUUGGUGUUAAAAGUUUACAAUGGUAGUUUGGAAACAGGUAUUCGAAAUAACUUCAACAGAAUGUCACUCAUCAUGCCAAAACCCAAAAUGAUGCACAAGCUUAAAAUACACCACGGAAAAACAAUGCAACACUCAUUUAUGAAAUGAGUCGGACUACGAGAUUAUAAUCACUUAUUUGACAUUUGCUUGUUAUUGGUGGGAAGAUGAACACACAAGAGUGCACAAAAAUUGAAAACACAAUAUGAGACAAAUGGUAUAAAGCACAUCCAAAGUAAACUAGAUCAAAUGGCAUAAGGCACAUAACAUUUUCAGAUCAAAUAAUUAGAACAAGGCCAGAACAUUUUCCUUAUUUGUUCUCUUAUCUAGUAGACAUCUAUAUAUGGUUGUUGAAGACGGUCUUACUCAUGGAACAAUUACUUGCAUUACCAAAAAACACAACCAACACACACCUGGAAGACAAGAGACCUCUGCUUUGUCUCUUGAUCAAAUUACUAAACUGCUUCGUUACUCUAUACCCCAGCCUACAAAUUUUCAUUGCAAGUAAACACAACAACGAUAUACAAAAUCACAAAUUGGUCAUAGUCUCAUAUAACCCAUACACCCAAAUCAAAGUUUCUAGUAACUACACAAUCAAUAUCACAAAAUCGGUUAAGAUUAAUAACCAUGCCCAUAAAGUUUUCGACAGUAUAUUUCUAAAAGAAAAGCGACAAUACCGGAAAGAACCCCAGCACGAUCUAUGAGUAGGGAUUCAAAUACGAAGAAAGCAGAUAGUGAAAGAGCAGGGUUGAUACCUCCCAACUGGUUGCACAAGAAGUAUGAUUGAUUGGCCUCGAGACUCACGGUGUCCGGUUGCUUCGUUUUGGGUGGAGGCGCCGCCACUGCUGCAGGGUUUUCAGCUGCACUCUCGGUCCUUGUUACUCCAUAGCUUAGAGCCUCACCAGCCUCGUUAGAGAGAGUCUGUCAAAAUCUUGAGGGAGGUGGCCAGAUUUCAGAAUGAGUUUUGUAUUUAUACCUAGCCCCUUAGAAUCCAUCAAAAUCCAACAACUAAUGAAAUCCGUGAGAAUCUACGGAGUUUUGAAUACCAGCCCAUUUUAAUGGAUAUUUUAAAAUUUUAAUUGAAUACCUCAGGAUUUAAAUAAACUUUUCAAAAUCUUAAUUUGAAUACCCAUAUACUUUUAAAGUCUAAAAAAAUCUAACAGACUCUCAAUUGAAUAC